UCCAGACUCCUACGGGAGGCAGCAGUGAGGAAUAUUGGUCAAUGGGAGGAAUCCUGAACCAGCCAUGCCGCGUGCAGGACGACGGCUCUACGAGUUGUAAACUGCUUUUGUACCGGGGUAAAAUGCCUUACGAGUAGGGUUUUGAAAGUACGGUACGAAUAAGGAUCGGCUAACUCCGUGCCAGCAGCCGCGGUAAUACGGAGGAUCCGAGCGUUAUCCGGAUUCAUUGGGUUUAAAGGGUGCGUAGGUUGUUUUAUAAGUUAGUGGUUAAACGUCGGGGCUUCACCUUGAUUUGCCAUUAAUACUGUAAGACUCGAGUUCAGACGAGGUAGGCGGAAUAAGUUAAGUAGCGGUGAAAUGCUUAGAUAUAACUUAGAACUCCGAUAGCGAAGGCAGCUUACCAGACUGCGACUGACGCUGAAGCACGAGAGCGUGGGUAGCGAACAGGAUUAGAUACCCGUGUA
rnacentral:rRNA from 1 species